rnacentral:rRNA from 1 species
GAAGCCGCGAAAAGCUCAUUACAACAGCCGUCGUUUCUUGGAUCUCCGAACUUACUUGGAUAACUGUGGUAAUUCUAGAGCUAAUACAUGCAACCGAGCUCUGAACGUAAGUGAUGAGCGCAUUUAUUAGUAACAAAAUCAAUCGGUGCUUGCACCGUGCGAUGGUGAAUCUGAAUAACUUAGCAGAUCGCUUCGGUCUUUGUACCGGCGACGUAUCUUUCAAGUGUCUGUUUUAUCAACUUUCGAUGUUAGUUUAUGUUACUAACAUGGUUGUCACGGAUAACGGAGAAUAAGGGUUCGACUCCGGAGAGGGAGCCUGAGAAACGGCUACCACUUCUAAGGAAGGCAGCAGGCGCGCAACUUACCCAAUCUCAGUACGAGGAGGUAGUGACGAAAAAUAACGAGACGAGACUCUUUGAGUUUCGUCAUCGGAAUGAGAACAAUGUAAACCUUUUAACGAGGACCUAGCGGAGGGCAAGUCUGGUGCCAGCAGCCGCGGUAAUUCCAGCUCCGCCAGUGUAUAUCUAUGCUGCUGCGGUUAAAAAGCUCGUAGUUGGAUCUGCAUGUGUUGACCUGGUCCGUCAAUGUUGGCGUGCACUGGAGUCACACAUUUUGUGGCUGGUUUUCACAUAGUGCACUUAACCGUGUGUUGUGUGUGGCUAGCAAGUUUACUUUGAAAAAAUUAGAGUGCUCAAUACAAGCGUUUCGCUUGAAUACUGGUGCAUGGAAUAAUGGAAUAGGAUCUUGUUUCUAUUUUGUUGGUUUUCGGAACACGAGAUAAUGAUUAAGAGGGACAGACGGGGGCAUUUGUAUUGCGACGUUAGAGGUGAAAUUCUUGGAUCGUCGCAAGACAAACUACUGCGAAGGCAUUUGCCAAGAAUGUUUUCAUUAAUCAAGAACGAAAGUUAGAGGAUCGAAGGCGAUCAGAUACCGCCCUAGUUCUAACCGUAAACGAUGCCAACUAGAGAUCUUGUGGUGUUUUGUUGACCCACAAGGGAUCUUUCCGGAAACGAAAGUUUUCCGGUUCCGGGGGAAGUAUGGUUGCAAAGCUGAAACUUAAAGGAAUUGACGGAAGGGCACCACCAGGAGUGGAGCCUGCGGCUUAAUUUGACUCAACACGGGAAAACUCACCCGGCCCGGACACCGUAAGGAUUGACAGAUUGAGAGCUCUUUCUUGAUUCGGUGGGUGGUGGUGCAUGGCCGUUCUUAGUUGGUGGAGCGAUUUGUCUGGUUAAUUCCGAUAACGAACGAGACUCCAACCUACUAACUAGUGGGCGAAUCUUUAUGUUCGCAACACUUCUUAGAGGGAUAGGUGACUUUUAGUCACAUGAGAAGGAGCAAUAACAGGUCUGUGAUGCCCUUAGAUGUCCGGGGCUGCACGCGCGCUACACUGAAGGAAUCAGCGUGCUAGAAAACCUUGUUUGACAUAGCUAGGUAACCCGUUGAAAAUCUUUCGUGAUUGGGAUCGGGACUUGCAAAUGUGUCCCUUGAACGAGGAAUUCCCAGUAAGUGCAUAUCAUCAGUAUGCGCUGAUUACGUCCCUGCCCUUUGUACACACCGCCCGUCGCUGCCCGGAACUGAGCCGUUUCGAGAAGACUGGGGACUGCAGACUCUGGGUUCGCAAGAGCUUAUUGUCAGCG